rnacentral:rRNA from 1 species
GGGGAAUAUUGCACAAUGGGGGAAACCCUGAUGCAGCAACGCCGCGUGAAGGAUGAAGGUUUUCGGAUCGUAAACUUCUAUCAGUAGGGAAGAAACAUGACGGUACCUAACUAAGAAGCCCCGGCUAACUACGUGCCAGCAGCCGCGGUAAUACGUAGGGGGCAAGCGUUAUCCGGAAUCACUGGGUGUAAAGGGUGCGUAGGCGGUACGGCAAGUCAGAUGUGAAAACCCGGGGCUCAACCUCGGGAGUGCAUUUGAAACUGUCGGACUAGAGUGCAGGAGAGGAAAGUGGAAUUCCUAGUGUAGCGGUGAAAUGCGUAGAUAUUAGGAGGAACACCAGUGGCGAAGGCGACUUUCUGGACUGUAACUGACGCUGAGGCACGAAAGCGUGGGGAGCGAAC